AGCCAUUAUUAACAUCAUGUUUGCAGUGGCUCAAAUGUUUGUCCCAUCUUCCCAUCAAAGGCUAUUUUCUCCAAGUUCCUCUCCUACCUUUCUGAGUGGAGAUGGUCCCUUCUGAGCAGGGAGAACAAUCAUAGCAGCAUGGCGGCUUUCCUUCCUGAACUUUUCUGGAAUAUCCAGGGAGACAGCUUUCUGUGCAUCUUGACCGAGGGACGGUCUAGGCAUGAAGAGAAAAUUGAGCAUUAAGGAGAAAAUGAAAGGUGAAUUUAUACCUUUGGACACAGAUAAUAGAAUUUUGGAAGGAUCUCGGAGAGGAGAUAUUUGUUUCCGAUAACCUCAGGUGACCCCAGACCAUAUUUUGGACAGUUACAUUUUUCUGUGUUUUUUUGCAGAGCUGCAUGGCAGAGACACCUUUUUCGAGCCUGGCAUAAACCAUCGUAUGCAGAUCAGCAAUAAAACAAGUCGUCCAUCUGUUGCCAUCACAUCUGCCAAUGGAGUCAUUGGUGUUGCUUCCAAAGACCCCCUAAUUUGGUGUCCAGUUUGCUUGUUUGCCAUGUCUCUAUGCCCAAACAAAUGUGGAAUACCUUACUAUACUCCAGCUUUACCCAAGCUGUUGCUCCUCUGAUAUCUUUGCACAAUGCUGGCUAGGGUGCACGCGACUUGUAGUCCACAAUAUUUGGAGGGCACCAAGUUGGGGAAAUGUGUUUGGAAAAUCUCCUAUUUACAUUGAAAUUUUAUACAAGUUUCCUCAAGAGCAGGUUCCAUUAAACUCAGUGGGACUUAGCUCCAGAGAAGUGCCCACAGGUUUGCAGUCAAAGCCUCAUAUGUACUAUUCAAAAUGUUAUUAGAGC